rnacentral:rRNA from 1 species
AUUGAACGCUGGCGGCAUGCUUUACACAUGCAAGUCGAACGGCAGCGCGGGCUUCGGCCUGGCGGCGAGUGGCGAACGGGUGAGUAAUGCAUCGGAACGUGCCCAGUAGUGGGGGAUAGCCCGGCGAAAGCCGGAUUAAUACCGCAUACGACCUGAGGGUGAAAGCGGGGGACCGAAAGGCCUCGCGCUAUUGGAGCGGCCGAUGUCGGAUUAGCUAGUUGGUGGGGUAAAGGCUUACCAAGGCGACGAUCCGUAGCGGGUCUGAGAGGAGGACAGCCACACUGGGACUGAGACACGGCCCAGACUCCUACGGGAGGCAGCAGUGGGGAAUUUUGGACAAUGGGGGCAACCCUGAUCCAGCCAUGCCGCGUGCGGGAAGAAGGCCUUCGGGUUGUAAACCGCUUUUGUUCGGGAAGAAAUCCUCUGGGCUAAUACCCCGGGGGGAUGACGGUACCGGAAGAAUAAGCACCGGCUAACUACGUG